GUCGGUUUGGUCUAGUGGUAUGAUUCCUGCUUUGGGUGCAGGAGGUCCGAGGUUCAAUCCCCCGAACCGACC